GGACCAAUACUCCAGCUGGUUGACAUCACCAUCCUUAGGCCUAUAACAGCAGCUGAGGCCCAAGAGCUUGGUAAGGAUGGAGUGAUUUGCAUUGGCAUCCACACAUGGGAGCAAAUGAUUAAAAACUCUCUUUGAUUCACGUGGUGACACAGAUGACUGACCUUGUGCCAGACUACAGAACCUGUCAAAAUGCUGCUUCUUACUGAGGACUGCAGGAACCUGACCCAGUAACAUGCUCCUGCUUUUGACUCAUAAAAGAGAUACCACUCUUCUUCCACACACUGGAACACUGAAAAACAGAUGAACAAGCUACACCUCUGAGAAGGUCUGUUCUGACCAAGACUGCACUCCAAUGGUAAUUGUGCUUUUUUGCUUUGUUUUUCUUUCCCCCCCUUCUCUCUGUAGUUAGUGUUUGUAUCUCCUGAGUUAAUUGCCAGUUCAGGUAAUGACAAACAAAUUUGUACUUACAUCCAAACUUUGGGGAUCUGGAAGUGUCACACACCAAAAUUCUCAGCAAAUCUCUAUGUUGUAAAUCACUUUUUUAAAGUCAUGUAGAGAAUAAAUGGUAUAAUCAGAAACAGACAGAAAGCCAGACUUAUUUGUUACUUUCCUAGCAUGCUCUUAGCUGAUGGAAGCCUGCAACUUCAAUCACUUGUUCCAUAACCUAACUGUUGUGUGCUUACUUCGGGGAGCUUCUUAUUUAGUCUCUCUUUACUCCACUGUAGUACACAUAAAAUAUAAUCAAUUUCAAGCUAAUAUCUAUCAGGAAAGAAUGAAAUGAAAAUUACAACUGGGUACUCAAUUUACAGUCAUUUGUGAUGUUACUGCUGUGCUUCCUAUCUUCCAAUAUAUGACCUUUGCUGCAAGAA